ACGCCGGGCUCUUGUUUUACUGUUGCCGUCUUUGUAUUGGCACGGUCAGCUAGAGGGUACAAGCCGAGCAGACUUCGUGAAGGUGCAUGUCUUGUCUACAGCAACCCUGACCAUGUGGCCGGACUGAUGUGCUCAAGGCUGGGUGUGUGGCGUGGGGCUUGGCUGGGGAGGCAAACACUGUUUUGUGAUCCACAUCUGCCGAAGGGAUUCCCGACCAGAUCAUGCCAGGUGGGGACUGAGCAAGAGAGCCCAGCUGUAGGUGGUGCUGCAGGCGGGAGCCCCCACGGGUGUUUCUGACUCUGGCCCCCUGCCAGGCACCUCCUUGUGAGGUUCCUGAACGGAUACCUCCCUGCCCUGGGUAAAGCCGAGAAGAUGUGCAUUUGGUGGUUAUGGUCCGGGCUGCUGUGUCGGUUCACCUGCGGGGAUGGCGUGGUCAGGUGGCAAUGCAGAAACCAGUGUUGGUAUCUUUUCGCGUUUGUGUCAGCUUUAUUGAGGUGUGAUUGAAGUACGUGCAACUGCACAUGUUUAAAGUACGCAGUUAGAUCAGUCUUGACGUACAUGUACAGCCCCGAAGCCGUCACCACACUCAAGACCGAAAUGUGCUCAUCAUCUCCAAGAGGGAAACUAACGUUUCUUCGGGGAAAGGUGGCAGUAAUGCUGACGCUUGCGAGCAAACUGAAGCGGGAUGACGGUCUCAAAGGGUCCCGGACGUCAGCCACGGCCUCCGACUCCACUCGGAGGGUGUCUGUGAGAGACAGGCUGCUUGUUAAAGAGGUUGCAGAGCUUGAGGCUAAUUUACCGUGUACGUGUAAAGUGCAUUUUCCUGAUCCAAACAAGCUCCACUGCUUUCAGCUAACUGUAACCCCAGAUGAGGGUUACUACCAGGGUGGAAAAUUUCAGUUUGAAACUGAAGUUCCUGAUGCGUACAACAUGGUGACCGAGGAGCCUGGCUCCACAGAACCCCGUACUCCCUCAGCCUCCCAAAGUGAAAUGCCUGACCAGGAUCUGGCACCCCAACAUCACAGAGACGGGCGACAUAUGUCUAAGUUUACUGAGAGAACAUUCGAUCGACGGCACCGGCUGGGCUCCCACGAGGACGUUAAAGGAUGUUGUUUGGGGAUUAAACUCUUUGUUUACUGAUCUUUUGAAUUUUGAUGAUCCGCUGAAUAUUGAGGCUGCAGAACAUCACCUGCGGGACAAGGAGGACUUCCGGAAUAAAGUGGAAGAUUACAUUAAGCGUUAUGCCAGAUGAUAGGAGGAGGAGACGGUGGGGCUGUGGACUGUGUGUUGUAGGCUUGUCCCCAACCGCAACCAAAAGGGAGCCUCCUCCCCAGCCCUCGCGCUCCCUCAGACCCCCGGGUCGUCCGCAUCCUGUGACCACGCUGUCCCGAGGAAGAGCCUCUGCACGACCGCCCAUUGUAGAUGGAGAGUCCCACAUAAAUACAGCAGGAACAUGCGUCUGGGGUCCUAAAGAGUUGUCUGCUUACCUUAACAUGUUUACUUUUUGGAAACUGUACUGUAUAGGCUGUUGAUGAGAUUCCUGAGCAGUUGUCAUGAACUCAGAGUUGAGGCUAGCGCUUGCUUUGUCCCCCUUUCCCCAAGCCCUUCCCCGCACACGUGAUGCUGGUGAUGUGCUCAGUGUAGCUCGCAGGUGGGCGGUAAGAAGCCCGCUACACACUGUGAUUGGAUGCAGAUUCUCUCAGCUCCUUCCCGCCGACGUUGGUCCUGCCUCGUGUCAUGAAGCUUCCCAGAAUGCAUAGUCAUUCACUGUAGAUCUCUUACUGAAAUGCGUAUUUUAUUUAAUGUAAGUAUAUUUUGGAACAGAUUUGUAAUUUGUACAAUUUAAUGCUUUAAUUAUUUUUUUCUAUCUUCAUUUAGUUUGUAUUUUCAUUGUAUAGAGCAGACAGGAAGAUGCUGGGGAGAAAUACAAAGAAAAUAUGAAAGACACAUUAUUCCUUCUGUCCAAAUGAAACAAGAAUUUGGCUUCUAAAAAUCAACUCUUUGGGGUCCAGUUGGGGCGAGGAAGUUUUUGGAACCUUCUGAAGCUAGGUCUGGGUGGUUUAAAACAAAAGGCAGGGAGCCCUUUCCCACCUGCUGCCCCGAGGAAACCGGCCAGAGCCCAGGUCAGGCAGGGGCUUGGUGUCUCCACAGUGGCCUUGUGGUUGCGAGCCAGUAAGCAGUGCCAGGGGGCCUCGUGUCCUGAGGGAAUCAGCCACCCACGUCUCAUGCCCCUGAGACCGUGCCUGUGGCCUUCUGAGCUUGCUGUGUUUCCGGGCCAUCUGCAGGGAGCCUCCUAGGGCCUUGCGGGGCUGGGAAUCAGCAGCAGCAUCCAGCCAGACUCAGGCCAGUGCACUUCAGAGGAAGAAAACUAAGGAGGCAGGUGGAUUUACUCCAGCAGUUAGAUAUCUGACCCAGUGAAAUCAAAUGCAAAAUAAAUAAUUGUAGGGUUUUCACCUGCUGCCUGCCUGGCAUAGUCAAGUUUAACAGCCUCCUCUGACCUCUGGAUCCCCCCUCUCUGCCAUCUCCCCGGCCUGGUUUGUUUUUCCUAGUUUAUAAUGCACUAUCUGAUUAUGAGAUCAGUGUGUCCCAGAGAUGGGCAAGGAGGGAACGUGGGCCAUGCUUCCUUCCCAUUUGUAAUCAGGAAUUGCGCCCGUUAGACCGAGGGGGCCCUGACCGAUCGGCCACACCUCGGGUGCACAGCGCAGGAGGAGUGGGGGCGGAUCGAGGGCAUGGUGGCAGCUGGGAGGCUUGGGGCCUGUGAGGAGGACAACAGUAACCCUGCAUCCUGGAGCCUGGAAGAGGCACUGAAGCUUACACACUAACUGGAGCAGGACACAGGGCAGAUCAGCAGCUGGCCUGCCCACACUGGCCUGAGUUCUGCCCCUGUGAUCCAGGCCACGCGGUUCUGUGCCUGCGCAACCCCAGGCUUGAGUCGUCAUAUCUCACGGCUGCCCGAGCAGCUCCCAGGCUGCACAGCUGGUGGUGCAGAUGGAGGUGGAAGAAAUGACUCCAGAGCCCAUGGUUGAAUGGAAAUCUGCACGUCGUAGUAAAAGAGUACCUUCUGGACGAGACUGGAAGGUACGGCUGCUAAUUCUGACCUCAAAAUAUUUGCGCAAUAGAAAAAUACUUUGCUUAUCAGAGAUCAGUUAAUUCCUCAGAAAUGACCUUUCCCCGUGACAAGAUCAUCCUUUUCUGUCCGGUGCAAAUCCCUCCGAGGCCUUGCCUUCCCCCAUCUUGGUAAGGAACACAGCCAGCCUGGCCCAGCCCAUCGUGGUGGGGAAGCAGUACUGCACUGGGCACGUGGCCAGUGGGGCCCGGGGCAUCUUUGGGCGGCCUUUUGGUUUUUUGGGAGUCUCCUCCCCCCUCGGGCCAAAGUAACAUUUCUGACUCCAGUCCGUGGGCUCCACCAGGCGGAUGAUAAUUGGUGGUUUCCGAUCUGCCAGGGGAGGGUUUCCAGUCCUGGAGCCAGACGGCAUGGAGCAGGCCCUGGGAACAGGAAGCUCCGGGCUUCUCUGAUGUCCACUGGGGUCCCCCCGACUCCGAGGCGUAGCGUUUGGAUGUCAGCAACACGUUUCCCAAGCACACUCAGCAGGAAACAGUUCCAGGGUAGACCUGUCGGAAGGCAAAGCUCACGUGUCUCACCUCUCAAACACAGACUCCCUCUGAAGUCUCUGUCAGGAGCCAGGGCGAGUGCGUUAGUCUGGUGUUAAGGACUGAUCCUUGGCUGUGUUACUUCCGCCCUCUGUAUUUGGCUUGUUGUAGAGUGCUGGCCCAGGGAGCAGCGUCUUGGGUUAUGGUUAACAAGACACCCUGCUUUAUCUACUGUCCUCCGUAAGCACCAAAAGCCUUACAGGGCUGUUGAUGGUUUCUACCAACUACAGAUUAAGCCAGGUUGUGCACCUGCUAGAGAAGUCUGCGGUACAGAAAUACAGGUGAAAGCUUUGUUCGGACUAUUUGCGGCAGCUAAAAUAGUCUGAAUGUGUAGUCUUUAAAAGGAACAUGUACCUUAGUGUUUGCUAGUUUAAAUGUUUCAAAAUGUCCAGGCAGAUUUUCCUCUGCCCUCAGUCCCCCCGCCCCCACACUUCUGUGAAACGCCCCCAUGGGUGCAGAAGGCAACAGCCGCUGUCCCCGUGAUUUGGCCAGAGCCGGACCAGUCCCAGCAGAGUCUCAGGCCGCCUGGUGGCUGAGCCGGCGUGCAAUCCUCUUAUGGUAGCAGGAGCAGAGAUUGGGCCGGGCUCUGGAGCGCCGCACAAAAAUCCCAGAGCGCAAACUCCAACUCCCAGGUGGUGGUGCUCCCAGAGGAUGUGCCCCACUGUCUCCUGGGAUUGCUGUAACCGCCCCCCCACCCACCACCACCGCUGUGAAGACAAUCACAAAUUCCUAUUAUGUCAGACUUCUUCCGACGGGAUGAUCGAAAUCAACCAGAAUAGUUACUAAUGUAAAAUUCCAACCAGACGUCACAGUGAGCCACCAAUCGCAGUCUUUAACGAGGCUCUUCUCAGCUCGUGCAGGCUAUCCCGGGAUCGUUUGCGCUUUCAUUCACUUAAAAAUAUGUUCUACCUUGGAAAGUCAGGUUUGCUACAAGUUGGUUAUUCAUCAAAGUGUCUAAUAAAAUGCUAGUGUAUAGAUAGUCUUAGCAAAAUAACGUAUUUUAACUUUGCCAAAGAACUUGGGAAAUGAGAGCACUUGUCACUCCCUUCUUUCCUCCUGAAGUCCUGCCUCAAACAAGUCAACAGCUUGGAGGGGCUAAUUCGGAAGGGUCCGUGUUGCCCACUGAAGUCCCCACUCAUGGCCUGGGUUUCCAUGGGUUACCAGAAUUGACGGAGUGAAAGAACUGUGGUUUGAAAAAAGUUCUUCAAAAAGCCCAGUGAUGAAGGCAUUUGGGGACCUGGCCUUGUCAAGAAUGUCUAUUCAUGUUAAGCUGUAUAAAGAACUGAAUUAUACUCUUUAAAAAAAAAAAAAAUCAUCUUAGGGCUCAUUCAUUUCCAUUGCCCAGUUCACUGAGCCAGAGUUCUUUGAUAAAUUCACUUUUCAUGUCAGGGCCAGCUGGAAGAAACCAUGCUUGCCCAAGAGUUCCUGGUGCUGGAGGAGAGACGGGACAGCGCCCCAGCUCCGCAGAAUGGGGUAAAACUUGUCAGGGGCCAGGCGCCAGAAGGACCAGCCGUGGGCGGCGCGGCACCUCGUGCAGUCUCCCUGGUGAGCCUUCCUACCCAGCGGCGCUCUCCCUGCUCUGAUGCCCGUGUGCAGCCUGCUCCGUCUCUGGCCUCGUACAGCUGACUCCUCUGUGUUGCGGUUUUUCCUGUUGGGUUUUUAUCACCUCGGUGUCAGACCUCAUUGACCCACCUGGUGCUCGCCAGGCCAGCCGUGGAUCUUAUCAGAUGUCUCUUUAAAAAUGCAUUCCGGCCUCAACGGCCCUGUUCACCUGUGUCCUGCCCUCCCACCCCCACUCCCAACCAGGGUGAGGCCGAGGGACCCUGAGGUGGGUGCAGCACCGGGCAUAGAGAGCCGUGUUGUCUGUUCAGCCUCAAAUGAGUCUGAGAGGACCUGACUCCCUGGGGUGGUUCUCGAUGGGAGCGGGGGAAGGGGGGAGUCCAGUGGGCACGGAUCCCACUGUGGUUGCUGUGCACCUCCCCAGACCAGCCCGUGGUGUGUGACAAGGGCCACAGUUGAUGCAGGAAGACCUGGCUGACAGCCCGGUGAGACCAGGACAAACCGGUGGGAUGACCUGUCCACAUUCCCCCCAGCUUGCUGCCGGGGGGGGGGGGGGGGGGGCACUUCUAAUCUUCCCAUCCCCUCCAGAAGAAGCCCGCCUGCACCUAGCACAUGAGCCCAUUGUGACUGGCCCCCUGUUCACUGUGCCAGCCACUGCCCUGAAGACCCUGCCUGACCUCAAAGCGGGUCAUGACCUUCAGGCCUCGUGACAAGGUCCACCUCCCUCUUGGGGCUCCUUCCGCGAUUGAGUUCACAUGGUGCCACUGCUGUGAGGCCUACCUGACAGGCAGGUGGACAGCUCCUGGGAUAGCCUCACCUUGCCCAGGCUUCCAGGAGCACAGGGGGUGUGGUCUACAACUGGUUCCAUUUGUAUUCCUGCCCGUCCGGAGUCAGGCAGCAUGUGGAGCACGGGGCCUUGGCUUGGCCAUCCCGUGAAAACGGAAUCGCUUGUUACAAUAGGGUUACUAGGUGCUGAGUAAAUCUAGCAGGACCUUCAGAGUCCAAGCACAGCAGAUGCAUAAUGCCUGCUCAGGACAGCCCCCUCACUGCAAGCCCGGCGUGCUGCCUGGAGGCAGUGGCUGAUGCCUCACAGGUGAGCGACCCACCCUUCUCUGAGAGCUGGCUGGUGCCGAGUCUGAACAGUCUGCUUUGCUGGA